CGGGUAUAUCCACAGAAGUUCGUGAAAGAGUCGAUCAAAAACAAGUUCAAGAACUCAAGGAAGAGGUCCCUUUCCGAAAGCGUCACCAGCAGAAAGCGAACUACACCGAUGGUGAACUACCUGCCGCCCAAGUCGCACGUCAACCUCGUCCACAUGGAAGCUACUGUACGGAAGAUGAAGGACGAAGGACAGUUGAUGGAGCAGGAAGAGGUGGCUAAAGCCAUGUCUGACACCCUGGCUGACCGUCGGCACCACACCAGCUGAUCGGGUCGCGAAAGCAGACAUUGAGAAGUCUGCUCGACCGGUAUCCGCUUCUCCUCUCGAAGCGUCAGCUCUGGGCUGAACUGGCCCGACUCAAAGGUGAUGCAUCUCCCGGCGGCGGCGAUGACCUUUUCAAAAGGUCUAUCGAGAGGUUCGGAGAAAUAUUGCUGCCACUGCAGCAGAAACUAAAAUGCACCCUAGAUGAAGCGGCCGGGCACCUUCUGGCGAUGUUCCAAGAGGAAGACCAAAUUUACACGGUCUCCCCCAACGAGAGAGGCCCCAGCGUGUGCGACGAUGCACUCUUCGUGGAGGGCAUUGAAGUAUGCAGACUUUGUGGUACCACAAAGGUAGAACAGCUCCUGACGUGGGCCGCUUCAUUCGCUGUCUACGCUCAGAAAACGAACCGAAAGGUUGAAAACACAGCGUGUGUUCUGCUGCGGUUUGUUCUCGG